UACGUAGGGUGCAAGCGUUUGUCCGGAAUUAUUGGGCGUAAAGAGCUCGUAGGCGGUUCGUCGCGUCGGCUGUGAAAACCUGAGGCUCAACCUCAGGCCUGCAGUCGAUACGGGCGGACUUGAGUACUGCAGGGGAGACUGGAAUUCCUGGUGUAGCGGUGGAAUGCGCAGAUAUCAGGAGGAACACCGGUGGCGAAGGCGGGUCUCUGGGCAGUAACUGACGCUGAGGAGCGAAAGCGUGGGGAGCGAACAGG
rnacentral:rRNA from 1 species